CUACGAGGGUUGCAAGCGUUAAUCGGAAUUACUGGGCGUAAAGCGUUCGUAGGCGGUUUGUUAGGCAAGAUGUGAAAGCCCUGGGCUCAACCUGGGAACUGCAUUUUGAACUGGCAAACUAGAAUACUGUAGAGGGUGGUGGAAUUUCCAGUGUAGCGGUGAAAUGCGUAGAGAUUGGAAGGAACAUCAGUGGCGAAGGCGGCCACCUGGACAGAUAUUGACGCUGAGGAACGAAAGCGUGGGGAGCGAACAGGAUUAGAAACCCUAGUAGUCC
rnacentral:rRNA from 1 species